UAUGGGGGGGGCAAGCGUUGUUCGGAAUUACUGGGCGUAAAGGGCUCGUAGGCGGCCAACUAAGUCAGACGUGAAAUCCCUCGGCUUAACCGGGGAACUGCGUCUGAUACUGGAUGGCUUGAAUCCGGGAGAGGGAUGCGGAAUUCCAGGUGUAGCGGUGAAAUGCGUAGAUAUCUGGAGGAACACCGGUGGCGAAGGCGGCAUCCUGGACCGGCAUUGACGCUGAGGAGCGAAAGCCAGGGGAGCAAACGGG
rnacentral:rRNA from 1 species